GACGAACGCUGGCGGCGUGCUUAACACAUGCAAGUCGAACGGAAAGGCCCUGCUUGCAGGGUGCUCGAGUGGCGAACGGGUGAGUAACACGUGGGUGAUCUGCCCUGCACUUCGGGAUAAGCCUGGGAAACUGGGUCUAAUACCGGAUAGGAGCCAUUUUUAGUGUGAUGGUUGGAAAGUUUUUUCGGUGUAGGAUGAGCUCGCGGCCUAUCAGCUUGUUGGUGGGGUAAUGGCCUACCAAGGCGGCGACGGGUAGCCGGCCUGAGAGGGUGGACGGCCACAUUGGGACUGAGAUACGGCCCAGACUCCUACGGGAGGCAGCAGGGGGGAAUAUUGCACAAUGGGCGCAAGCCUGAUGCAGCGACGCCGCGUGGGGGAUGACGGCCUUCGGGUUGUAAACUCCUUUCGCUAGGGACGAAGCUUUUUGUGACGGUACCUAGAUAAGAAGCACCGGCUAACUACGUG
rnacentral:rRNA from 1 species